AAGUUGGAAGCCCCUCUGCAGCUCACUGCUGCAGGUGCUCUGCUCCUCGUGCAACUGUUGGCACACAAACAGAGGCGACAGAUGCAGACACUGCAGAUUCUGUCAUACCCGUGUCUGCACAGGUCAACCCUGGGUGCAAUGCGGCUGCCCCCCACCACAACCAGGCAGGAAGUCCUCAGGAGCACUUCCGAGUCCAGUGCAACCUGCCACAGCACUGCAAGCUCGGCUACCUUCGCCAAUCCCGAGCACGACCUCCAGCCUGCGAGCCCCAGACCAG